UGGGUUGUGGCUCAGUGGCAGAGUGCUCGCCUAGCAUGUUAGAGGCCCUGGGUUCAAUCCUCAGCACCACAU
rnacentral:tRNA from 1 species